rnacentral:lncRNA from 1 species
UGUAAGAGAGUAAAUCCGAGAAGUAAGCUUCCGCUUGUUCUCUCUCAGCGCCUGCAGCAAGGGACUGGGCAGCACUCAUGGACGAGCCUCUGCGACGAGGUGACAUGGCCAGAGAUGCUGUGCGACUGUACGCUGCUGACAUUGAUUGCGAUCCUGACGUUGAGCGUGGUGGUAAAGCUGCUUUGCCAGGAUGGCUGAAAGCAGCAGACGAUGUUGAAGGCUGACUAUCAGAUGCAUGCUGCGAUCUCGGUGUGUAGGAAUCAAGUGAUGUCAUCCUGCUCCGCUGCCAAGACCCCUUGGGUGGGGAACUUUCUAACAAGACAUCAUAAUCAAUUGGCUAAUUGGAUUGGAAAUAGAGAAGAACAUGGAAGAGGCGCACUCGCGACGCAGAUACCUGACAAGCUGAACAACAAAUGCAGUCCAUAUGCAUGUUAUUGGCGCUGUGAGAGACUU